GGCCACCGUGUGCCCUCCCCGUGAGCUCCCCUUCCUCCUCGACCCUCCCUCCCGCGUUCACCGCUCAUCGUAGUCGCCACGACCACCGCGCCUCGAUCCCGUUUGGUCCGUGCACGUCCACGGCUCGUGCUCCCGCCUGCGAAUGGCCUCGCCCCGCGGCCAUCUCCGCCUUCACCCUGCCGCCUAGCGCCCGCCUCCGCAGCCCAUGCCGGCGCCAGGCCUUGCCCACCCUGUGGUCGCCCUCCCCGCCGCUCGCCCGUGCCUCUGCGGCACUCGCCGCGCAACCCCUCCCUGGCCCCGUCCAGCACCCACGCUGCCCGCGCGCUGGCCGUGCCGCAUCCGGCCUCUGCCUUGGCUGGCGCCUCAGGCGCACAUGGGCGCCCACGCCCGCACCCGUUUCACCCGCCCCGCUAAGGCCCCCUCGGCCACUAACACACGGGGCCCAGCCCCUUGUUUUUUAUUUAAAAAAAGAAACGAAAAUGUAACAAUAAUAAUAAUUAAAACAUUAAUUAAUUAACUUAAUUAAUCAGGUUAAUUAAAUCUAAUCAACCAAAUUUAGUUAAUUAAAUCUGUUAGUUAGUUAGGUCAAUGAUAGAACGACCCUCACACGUCAGUUUGACCAGUCAAUGCUCUGUUGACUACUGACAUCAUGAUGACGUCAGGCUGAUGUCAUAAUUCCAAUUUUGAAUUAAUAAUAAUUUCAGAAUAUUAUUAAAACUUUGAAAAAUCAUAUAAAAUAAACCGUACCUCGGAUGAAAAAGUUUCCUACAUGAAAGUUUCUCAGAACGACGAGACGAAUCUGAACACGCGGUUUGUUCGUCCGCCACACGUUCCUAGCAUAGCGAACAUGCAACCUUUUCCCUCCGGUUCAUCUGUCUGACAGACGUCCGGAAUCAGAAAACUUUCACGGAUGUUGUUCCCCUUUACCAGUAUCGUGUAGCACUGCGUUAGAACACCUCUAGCAUCGCUUAUUGUCAUGUUAUGCAUAUGUUUGCGUGUAUUUACUGUUUCUUCCCCCAUUUCUCUCUGGUAGACCCUGAGACCGCUGCUGAUGCCACUGUGAUCGACUACGUCACCAACGACCCUCCUUCUUGUCUGAGCAACCAAACAAGCCCUCCCUUUGAUCAUCCCGAUAUCGCCCAUUCUAUACUCUCAUGCUUGCUCGAUUUUUCUACUGUUAUUGAUUGCUCCUAUUCCGAUGCAUAGCCUGCUUUUGUAACCUGCUCAUUGUACCUCACCCGCUUAUCCUAAACUGCUUAGUAUAGGUUGGUUAGUGAUCCAUCAGUGACCCCCCACCUUGUCCUUAUUGCCCCUGCUUCAUCUUCGAUGACUCGAUCAACGUGAUCGAGGACCAGAGCCUGACACCUCACAUCACAUCACGCCCAUUUAGUUGCUCGACACUGCAGAGCUACUAUCGAGUGCCGAGGGUGAUCCCUCAUAAUGCACUCCUGAUGAUAAUUCUAUAGUGUAGCUAUUCGGUCAUGGUCAUCGAGGGAUGUUCCUCUUUCACCAUUCCCAAUACGGCUCUGUCGUGCAACACCUCAAGUGUGAACCUUGAGGGUGGGUCCUCUUACGUUCACCUUGAUGGUUACAUCGAGUGGAAUCCUCCGUGGGUGAUUCCUCGGGUUUUCCCCUUGAUGUUUGGACACACGGUUACCUUGACUUACUUGAGACCAUUGUUGAAGUCGGGUCGGUCCUAAGGGGUACCCUCGAGUUGAUGUGAAAGUCGGGCAGGCCCGUUGAGCACCCGCGAGUUUUCCACGUGGCACGGCUGGGCAGCCUGGGCCCUUGCUGUAAGUCCAUGAGACGGGGCGACGGGGUCAUAUUAUUGUGAGUCUCUGCUCGUCUCCACGAGCCCCCAAUGCACUAAUAGGUUUUGGUAUUUAUUCUGAGUUGGCCUCUAGCCUUUACGCACUAACCACCACGCGAGAAUAGAUAUGGGCCUCGAUGUCGUGGUAUCAGCCGAAGCUUUGUCAGACGUCCAAUUCAGCAGUGCGGCACGGCUGGGCCGACACCAUCCUAUAGUGGUGGAGCUUGGUCCGCCCUGCUCGCAAUGACCCGGAGUGCAAUGGGCGAUGGGCCCAGACCCUGGAGUGCUUAGGAGGUAGACCGGCGGGGACCUCUUUGCUGAGCCUAGGUAGGGCUGCGAUGUGUUGAUCUUCCGAGGCCGGGCAUUGACCCCAGAAAGGUGUGUCCGGCCAGAGUGAUCGAGCGUGUUGGGUAACGUGGUGCACCCCUGCAGGGAAGAUAUAUAUUCGAAUACCGUGUCCACGGUAAUGGACGUUCAGACUUGUAUCCUGACCUUAUACAACUAUAAAUGGAUACUUGAUAUGUGAUGGAUAUGUGGCUUCGGGAUUGCUUUCCCGUAGGGAGUCGGGGAAGGAUCUCUGGGCGUUGAUGUUACAACAUGCUUGGUAAAUAUUAAAAUGCUACUCUUUACUCUUCUACAUGCUGCAAGAUGCUUGGAGCUACUUGAAGAUGCUAGUCUUCGAUAGGCUAGGCCUUUCCCCCUCUAUUCUUGCAUUCUGCAGUUCAGUCCACAGAUACAACCCUUCCAUUUGAUACCAAUGCAUACUUAGUAUAGAUCUGAUGCUUGCGAGUACUUUGGAUGAGUACUGACGGUUGCUUUGCUACCCCCUUUCCCCCUUCUUUCUUCUUUCCGGUUGAUGCAACCAGAUGAUGGAUCCCUGGCCACCGCCGACGGAUACUGCUACGUGGAGACCGCCGACAACCAGGAGUAGUUAGGAGGUCCCAGGCAGGAGGCCUUGCCUCUUCGAUCAUUGUUGCUUUUGUGCUAGCCUUCUUAAGGCAUCCUUGUUUAACUUACGUCUGAACUCAGAUAUUGUUGCUUCCGCUGACUCUUGUGUAUCAAGCUAUGUAUUCGAGCCCUCGA
rnacentral:lncRNA from 1 species